rnacentral:rRNA from 2 species
UUUGACCUCAAAUCAGGUAGGACUACCCGCUGAACUUAAGCAUAUCAAUAAGCGGAGGAAAAGAAACCAACAGGGAUUGCCUCAGUAGCGGCGAGUGAAGCGGCAAAAGCUCAAAUUUGAAAUCUGGCGUCUUUGGCGUCCGAGUUGUAAUUUGAAGAAGGUAUCUUUGGGCCCGGCUCUUGUCUAUGUUCCUUGGAACAGGACGUCACAGAGGGUGAGAAUCCCGUGCGAUGAGAUGACCCGGGUCUGUGUAAAGUUCCUUCGACGAGUCGAGUUGUUUGGGGAAUGC